GACGAACGCUGGCGGCGUGCCUAAUACAUGCAAGUAGAACGCUGAAGCGAGGAGCUUGCUCUUCUUGGAUGAGUUGCGAACGGGUGAGUAACGCGUAGGUAACCUGCCUUGUAGCGGGGGAUAACUAUUGGAAACGAUAGCUAAUACCGCAUAACAAUGGAUGACCCAUGUCAUUUAUUUGAAAGGGGCAAAUGCUCCACUACAAGAUGGACCUGCGUUGUAUUAGCUAGUAGGUGAGGUAACGGCUCACCUAGGCGACGAUACAUAGCCGACCUGAGAGGGUGAUCGGCCACACUGGGACUGAGACACGGCCCAGACUCCUACGGGAGGCAGCAGUAGGGAAUCUUCGGCAAUGGGGGCAACCCUGACCGAGCAACGCCGCGUGAGUGAAGAAGGGUUUCGGAUCGUAAAGCUCUGUUGUAAGUCAAGAACGAGUGUGAGAGUGGAAAGUUCACACUGUGACGGUAGCUUACCAGAAAGAGACGGCUAACUACGUG
rnacentral:rRNA from 1 species